rnacentral:rRNA from 1 species
AUUUUCAGUGUCGCAGCGAAACGAUAAACACACCGCCUGGGGAGUACGGCCGCAAGGUUAAAACUCAAAUGAAUUGACGGGGGCCCGCACAAGCGGUGGAGCAUGUGGUUUAAUUCGACGCAACGCGAAGAACCUUACCUGGUCUUGACAUCCUCGGAACUUUCUAGAGAUAGAUUGGUGCCCUUCGGGAACGCAGUGACAGGUGCUGCAUGGCUGUCGUCAGCUCGUGUCGUGAGAUGUUGGGUUAAGUCCCGUAACGAGCGCAACCCUUGUCCUUAUUUGCCAUCAUUAAGUUGGGCACUCUAGAGAAACUGCCCGUGAUAAGCGGGAGGAAGGUGUGGAUGACGUCAAGUCCUCAUGGCCUUACGGGUUGGGCUACACACGUGCUACAAUGGCAUCUACAACAGGAAGCAAAACGGCAACGUUAAGCAAAUCCCGAAAAGAUGCCUCAGUUCGGAUUGCACUCUGCAACUCGAGUGCAUGAAGCUGGAAUUACUAGUAAUCGUGGAUCA